rnacentral:snRNA from 1 species
AGCUUUGCGCAGUGGCGAUAACGUGACCAAUGAGGCUCUGCCGAGGUGUGUUUAUUGCUGGUUA